rnacentral:rRNA from 1 species
UGGGGAAUAUUGCGCAAUGGGGGGAACCCUGACGCAGCCAUGCCGCGUGAAUGAAGAAGGCCUUAGGGUUGUAAAGUUCUUUCGGUAUUGAGGAAGGUUGAUGUGUUAAUAGCACAUCAAAUUGACGUUAAAUACAGAAGAAGCACCGGCUAACUCCGUGCCAGCAGCCGCGGUAAUACGGAGGGUGCGAGCGUUAAUCGGAAUAACUGGGCGUAAAGGGCACGCAGGCGGUUAUUUAAGUGAGGUGUGAAAGCCCUGGGCUUAACCUAGGAAUUGCAUUUCAGACUGGGUAACUAGAGUACUUUAGGGAGGGGUAGAAUUCCACGUGUAGCGGUGAAAUGCGUAGAGAUGUGGAGGAAUACCAAAGGCGAAGGCAGCCCCUUGGGAAUGUACUGACGCUCAUGUGCGAAAGCGUGGGGAGCAAACAGGAUUAGAUACCCUGGUAGUCCACGCUGUAAACGCUGUCGAUUUGGGGGUUGGGGUUUAACUCUGGCGCCCGUAGCUAACGUGAUAAAUCGACCGCCUGGGGAGUACGGCCGCAAGGUUA